CUUGUCCUCAUUUCAAAGCAUUAAGGUGCCUUAUUAUCUGAGUUGAUAUGUUAUUACACCCAACCACCACAUGAAAUAAGUUGCUCAAAAUACAUAUUGAUAUGAAAUACAUCAUUCAAACGAUAAAGUGACCAUGGCUGAGGUCAAAAGACUGCUAGUGAUUAUGUCAGGCCAUCUAGCAAAUUGGGAACACAACUAUAAAAGAGAAAAUAUUUAACAUAAUAGAAUAGACUAGAUAAAUUACCUGCAUGAUGUCACAGGUUGUUAUAAGAAUGAUGCAAGAAGCCAAGUGAGAAAUACCUGAACUAAUCCAAGAAGCCGAGCAGACAAAGAACCUAGUAAAAAUAGGAAAAGAAAAAUCAAUUGUGUAGGUUAAAAUGUAUAACCAUAUGGAGAAGUUUUCUAUGAAGAUGUCUUAACAAUUGAAAAGGCCAGAGCACAAAACAUUCAGAGCAAGGAAACACGCAAAAUUGCAAAAAAAAAAAUCACCCAACAACAAAUAAAUGAAAUAAAAAAACUUAAAAAUCCGAAUCUACAAUAAAAGUAGAAUGCUGAUAUUCACAAGAGUAGGGAAACAACCAAAAUUGCAAAAAAUCAAAUUUCACUCGACAAGCAUCUAGCAUUAAGACUAAAAAAUAUGUGCGCCUAUACAGGUCCCCCAAAUCCUACAUUAGGUCAAAUCAAAGCAAGUAUAAAAUCCCUAACAGAUUAAUUUAAGUAACAAAAUACCCAAAUUAUUCUUAAAUAAUGAUGUCUUAAUUACUUGUUUGCAAAUUCUCCAUCUACUAGACUGUGUUUUAUUAGUAUCUACCAUGUUAGCUAUAUGCGUUAGUUUAUUGACAGUAGAGGACAAAAACCUAAUAUGAGGCGCUUUCAGCUUAAAUUAUAGCUUAGCUAGUAAUAUGUAGAAAAUUUUAAUUGAGGAGAUACCUUAUAUUUUAGCAUAGCACACGCAUUCAACAUUCUUUAUCCCUAAAAAAUAAUUAGCAUUUUUCUCUUUGUUAGAGUUUGAUACCUUGGUUUGGAUAUUUCCUGAAAUUCGUUGUAGCAGGUCUUUCACAUCAAGCUCAAGCUCAGUCUGCUUUUUUAUCGCUUAUUUUUGUCGUUAAAGUAAAGAUACAUAAAUCUUAAUCUCAUGUUAAAAGCAAUAAAUACAACAUAAGACAUUUAAGCAUUAAAAUCCAGUACUAUAGUACCUCGUCACUUGCCUCAAGUUCAGCUUGCCUUCUCUGUAGUUCCUCCUGUUUCUCAGUGAGAUUUCCAUGUUGAUCUAGUGUCUUUUUGUUUACAUGGCUAAACAUAUUGAAGUUGCUUAUUGCACCAAUGAAGCGUUUUAUGGAACUCCUUCACACUCCACUUAUACCUACAUGUUCCAAUAAAAAAGAGCAUGCCACUUCUGAAAAGAUGAAUGCUUAAGUGGAAGCAUGACCUAUCUCAGUAAGUACCGAGUAUAUGUGGGGCCAAGACCAAAACAUCAUCUUUUAGGAUUUCAACAAAGAUAUUGGCCGGCAAAUCAAGCUAGAUAAAUAUAUUUAAAAUAUUAAUUACAAGACAUAAUAGUUUAACAAUACAUUAAAAGCAAGAACAAAAAACUGAAGCUCAGACAAGUCAUUUAUCACGUAAAGAAACAGUAAAGUAGAUUCACGGUUCAAAGUUCUUGCGUUGUGACUUCAGCCAAUGAGUCUAUCCAGCCUAUCAGAAACACCUGGAAGAAAGGCUAGUCAAAAAAAUCUUUUUAUAGUGAAAUAUUAAAAUCAAGCUUCUAGAAACUCCUCAAAGCUCACUUUAGAGUUUUUGUGUUAUGACUUCAAGCAAUGAGUUAGCAUCAUUUAGUUCCCGCCCCUUCAAUUCAGCUUCACCAUAUAACAUUUCAGACUUUGCAAAGGAUAUUAUGGCUUCCAACUUCUGUUUUUGUCAUUUUAGAUUAGUUGUGAAAUUAGUCUCUAGCUCUGUUUUCUCAUUUUAGUCUGUUAUGGAAAUUGCACCUUCAUAAGAUUUAUUACCUCAAUGCGAUCUGUUCUACAUAAUUAUGUUCAUAAACUUCAACUUUGAUCAUCGAUAGUCAUAAAAAAACCCUGUCAUAUCCAGUUUCUUCCUUACUUAAUGACCUGACCACUAGUAACUUGUUAAGGCAUCAUAAACAUGUAUAAGGAUCAUCAUGUAAAAUAACAUAUAAGAUUUUUAUCCUAACCAUCCACAUUUAUGGAGUCCAAACCAUCAGUUUGUGGACACAUCCAAAUCUGGACAGAUCACCGUUUAGGUAAAAACUUAGGAGAAUAAAAAGAAUAUGCAACGAUAUAAGCAUGGAGACCAUUACAGGAGUCAUAUCAACUUCGUUAACAAUUUAGCCCAUGCAAAUUUUCAAAAAGAACACACAUUUAUAGACAAGUCCUUGGGUAUAAACAUGCGCUAAUCCUAGGGAUGAAUUGGGAGAAAACUUCAACUUUUUUAAUAAAAGGACCACAUCAAAACCAUGUGGAUGGAUAAGUUACACGAGGAGACUUGCAUAUAAAUUAAGAACAACAAAACUCGAAUCAAUGUUACUACUAGAUCAAUACUAUUUCAAUUAGAACAAGCAUAGUGGAGGACUAUCAUGUGCAAGUACAAGGGUAAAAUUGGGAGAAAACUUCAACCUUUUUAAUAAAGGUACCACAUGUGAACUAUAUGGAUAAGUUACACAUGGAUACUUUAUCCUUACCUGUUCAAUGGGAUAAAAGUGGUUUGUCCUCAUUUCAAAGCAUUAAGGUGCCUAAUUAUCUAAGUACAUCAUUCAAACGAUAAAGUAACCAUGACAGAAGGUUAAGAGACUGCUAGUGAUUAUGUCAUAUCGUCUCGCAGAUUAGGAACACAACUCUAAAAGAGAAUAUUUAACAUAAUAGAAUAGAUUAGAUAAAUUACCUGUGUGAUGUCGUGGGUUGUUAUGGGAAUGAUGCAAGAAGCCAAGUGAGGAUUACUUGAACUAAUCCAAGAAGUUGAGUAGACAGAACCUAGUAAAAAUGGGAAAAGAAAAAUCAAUAUUGUUUAGGUCAAAAUCUGCAACCAUAUGAAGAAGCCUUCUAUUAAGAUGUCUUAACAAUUGAAAAGGCCAGAGCAUAAAAUAUUCAGAUCAAUAAUCAUGGUUGCUAUUCGAGUACAUUAGUGACUAAAAGUGAUGUAACAAAAUGAGCUAUGAGGAAUAGAAGCAAAAGAGCUGAAAAGGUUACUAAAGGUAAAUAGUGCUGGAACGGUACGAAUGGCAGGUGUAUUCACCAUCCGAUCCUAAACUCAUCAUUUUGUCACGGGCAGCUUUGCUGGAAAAUUGGGCUGGCUUAAAUUGCAU
rnacentral:lncRNA from 1 species